UAAAUUGAGAGUUUGAUCCUGGCUCAGGAUGAACGCUGGCGGCGUGCUUAACACAUGCAAGUCGAGCGAUG
rnacentral:rRNA from 1 species